rnacentral:rRNA from 1 species
UACGUAGGGUGCAAGCGUUAUCCGGAAUCACUGGGUUUAAAGCGUGCGUAGGCGGCUAAAUAAGUCAGAGGUGAAAGCUUGCAGCUUAACUGCGAAAUUGCCUUUGAUACUGUAUAGCUUGAAAGGAGCUGAGGUCAGCAGAAUGUGGCAUGUAGCGGUGAAAUUCAUAGAUAUGCCAUAGAAUACCAAUUGCGAAGGCAGCUGGCUGGGCUUACUUUGACGCUGAGGCCCGAAAGCGUGGGGAUCGAACAGG